rnacentral:rRNA from 1 species
UACAGAGGUCUCAAGCGUUGUUCGGAUUCAUUGGGCGUAAAGGGUGCGUAGGCGGCGCGGUAAGUCGGGUGUGAAAUCUUGGAGCUUAACUCCGAAACUGCAUUCGAUACUGCCGUGCUUGAGGACUGGAGAGGAGACUGGAAUUUACGGUGUAGCGGUGAAAUGCGUAGAUAUCGUAAGGAAGACCAGUGGCGAAGGCGGAUCUCUGGACAGCUCCUGACGCUGAGGCGCGAAAGCUAGGGGAGCAAACGGG